rnacentral:rRNA from 1 species
UACAUAGGUCCCAAGCGUUGUUCGGAUUCACUGGGCGUAAAGGGUGCGUAGGCGGUCGGGUAAGUCUGAUGUGAAAUCUCAUAGCUUAACUGUGAAACUGCAUUGGAUACUAUCCGGCUAGAGGAAUGGAGGGGAGACUGGAAUACUUGGUGUAGCAGUGAAAUGCGUAGAUAUCAAGUGGAACACCAGUGGCGAAGGCGAGUCUCUGGACAUUUCCUGACGCUGAGGCACGAAAGCCAGGGGAGCAAACGGG